GAUGAACGCUAGCGGCAGGCCUAAUACAUGCAAGUCGAACGGUGUCUUCGGACAUAGUGGCGCACGGGUGCGUAACACGUAUGCAACCUACCUUACAUUGGGGGAUAGCCUUUCGAAAGGGGGAUUAAUACCGCAUAAGACAGUAGCUGGGCAUCCAGCAGCUGUUAACGAUUUAUCGAUGUAAGCUGGGCAUGCGUCCAAUUAGCUAGUUGGUGAGGUAACGGCUCACCAAGGCAAUGAUUGGUAGGGGAACUGAGAGGUCAAUCCCCCACACUGGCACGGAGAUACGGGCCAGACUCCGACGGGAGGCAGCAGUAGGGAAUAUUGGGCAAUGGACGCAAGUCUGACCCAGCCAUGCCGCGUGCAGGAUGAAGGCGUUAUGCGUUGUAAACUGCUUUUAUACAGGAAGAAACGACUCUUGCGAGAGGCAUUGACGGUACUGUAUGAAUAAGCACCGGCUAACUCCGUGCCAGCAGCCGCGGUAACAC
rnacentral:rRNA from 1 species